rnacentral:rRNA from 1 species
UACGGAGGGAGCUAGCGUUGUUCGGAAUUACUGGGCGUAAAGCGUGCGUAGGCGGCUAUGUAAGACAGAUGUGAAAUCCCUGGGCUUAACCUAGGAACUGCAUUUGUGACUGCAUUGCUGGAGUGUGGUAGAGGGAGAUGGAAUUCCGCAUGUAGCAGUGAAAUGCGUAGAUAUGCGGAGGAACACCAAUGGCGAAGGCAAUCUCCUGGACCUGCACUGACGCUCAUGCACGAAAGCGUGGGGAGCAAACAGG